UCGCCCCUGUUUUUUUCAAAAACAUCGCCUCUUGAUUAAACAUAAGAGGUCCAGCCUGCCCAGUGACAUAGUUUAACGGCCGCGGUACCCUAACCGUGCGAAGGUAGCAUAAUCACUUGUUCUUUAAAUAGGGACUCGUAUCAACGGCAUCACGAGGGCUAUACUGUCUCCUUUCUCCAAUCAAUGAAACUGAUCUCCCCGUGAAGAAGCGGGGAUUAACCUAUAAGACGAGAAGACCCCAUGGAGCUUCAAACUCAACAUAUACCUCUACGCACUUAAACCACUUUAGCCCAAGAGACCUCUAUGUUAGUUUUGGGUUGGGGGGACCGCGGAGUAAAAAUUAACCUCCACGACAAACGGGCUUUAUGCCCUUAUCCACGAACCACAGCUCUAAGAAUCAAUAAACUGAUGUUUAUGACCCGAUUAUUCGAUCAACGAACCAAGUUACCCUGGGGAUAACAGCGCAAUCUACUUCAAGAGCCCCUAUCGACAAGUAGGUUUACGACCUCGAUGUUGGAUCAGGGUAUCCUAGUGGUGCAGCCGCUACUAAUGGUUCGUUUGUUCAACGAUUAAAACCCUACGUGAUCUGAGUUCCCAAACCGGA
rnacentral:rRNA from 1 species